GACGAACGCUGGCGGCGUGCUUAACACAUGCAAGUCGUACGGUAAGGCCCUUUCGGGGGUACACGAGUGGCGAACGGGUGAGUAACACGUGAGUAACCUGCCCACAACUUUGGGAUAACGCUAGGAAACUGGUGCUAAUACUGGAUAUGUGCUCCUGCUGCAUGGUGGGGGUUGGAAAGCUCCGGCGGUUGUGGAUGGACUCGCGGCCUAUCAGCUUGUUGGUGGGGUAGUGGCCUACCAAGGCGGCGACGGGUAGCCGGCCUGAGAGGGUGACCGGCCACAUUGGGACUGAGAUACGGCCCAGACUCCUACGGGAGGAAGCAGGGGGGAAGAUUGCACAAUGGGCGCAAGCCUGAUGCAGCAACGCCGCGGGCGGGAUGACGGCCUUCGGGUUGUAAACCGCUUUCAGCAGGGACGAAGCUUUUUGUGACGGUACCUGCAGAAGAAGCACCGGCUAACUACGUG
rnacentral:rRNA from 1 species